CUGUGCAAAGGUAGCAUAAUCAUUAGUUUUUUAAUUGAAAGCUGGAAUGAAUGGUUUAAUAAGAAAAAUUCUGUCUCAUUUUUAAGUUUAAAAUUUUAUUUUUAAGUUAAAAAGCUUAAAUUUAUUAAAAAGACGAGAAGACCCUUUAGAGUUUUAUAAGAAAAAAUUGAUUAUUAUUAUGAUUUAAAUUUAAAAUUGGUUUUUAUUAUUUUAUUGGGGUGAUAUAAAAAUUUAAGUAACUUUUUAUUUAUUUAAUCAUUAAUUUAUGUGUAGAUGAUCUUGAUUUUUUGGAUUAUAAGAAUAAUUACCUUAGGGAUAACAGCGUAAUUUUUUUUGAGAGUUCUUAUCGAAAAAGAAGUUUGCGACCUCGAUGUUGGAUUAAAAUUUAAUUUUGGCGUAGAAGUUAAAAAUUUAGGUCUGUUCGACCUUUAAAAUU
rnacentral:rRNA from 1 species